GGGAAACUGCCUGAUGGAGGGGGAUAACUACUGGAAACGGUAGCUAAUACCGCAUAACGUCGCAAGACCAAAGAGGGGGACCUUCGGGCCUCUUGCCAUCAGAUGUGCCCAGAUGGGAUUAGCUAGUAGGUGGGGUAACGGCUCACCUAGGCGACGAUCCCUAGCUGGUCUGAGAGGAUGACCAGCCACACUGGAACUGAGACACGGUCCAGACUCCUACGGGAGGCAGCAGUGGGGAAUAUUGCACAAUGGGCGCAAGCCUGAUGCAGCCAUGCCGCGUGUAUGAAGAAGGCCUUCGGGUUGUAAAGUACUUUCAGCGGGGAGGAAGGUGUUGUGGUUAGUAACCGCAGCAAUUGACGUUACCCGCAGAAGAAGCACCGGCUAACUCCGUGCCAGCAGCCGCGGUAAUACGGAGGGUGCAAGCGUUAAUCGGAAUUACUGGGCGUAAAGCGCACGCAGGCGGUCUGUCAAGUCGGAUGUGAAAUCCCCGGGCUCAACCUGGGAACUGCAUUCGAAACUGGCAGGCUAGAGUCUUGUAGAGGGGGGUAGAAUUCCAGGU
rnacentral:rRNA from 1 species